AAAAGUGAAAGACGGUCUUGCUGUCACUUAUAGAUGGAUCCGCGCUGCAUUAGCUAGUUGGUAAGGUAACGGCUUACCAAGGCAACGAUGCAUAGCCGACCUGAGAGGGUGAUCGGCCACACUGGAACUGAGACACGGUCCAGACUCCUACGGGAGGCAGCAGUAGGGAAUCUUCCGCAAUGGGCGAAAGCCUGACGGAGCAACGCCGCGUGAGUGAUGAAGGUCUUCGGAUCGUAAAACUCUGUUAUUAGGGAAGAACAUAUGUGUAAGUAACUGUGCACAUCUUGACGGUACCUAAUCAGAAAGCCACGGCUAACUACGUGCCAGCAGCCGCGGUAAUACGUAGGUGGCAAGCGUUAUCCGGAAUUAUUGGGCGUAAAGCGCGCGUAGGCGGUUUUUUAAGUCUGAUGUGAAAGCCCACGGCUCAACCGUGGAGGGUCAUUGGAAACUGGAAAACUUGAGUGCAGAAGAGGA
rnacentral:rRNA from 1 species